rnacentral:tRNA from 1 species
GGGCCUCUAGCUCAAUUGGCAGAGCAGCGGACUUUUAAUCCGCGGGUUACGGGUUCGAUUCCCGUGGGGCCCACCA